UGUGGUAUAACUGUUCCACUUUAUGCUGUAACCGCACAACUCAAGACUACCAUAUAGAAGUAGAUAGAUAGAAGUGGCAGGUAUAUGGGUGUACUCUUUAGCCCUACAGAUGUUCCGAGGUGUGGUAUAACUGUUCUAUUUUAAGCUAUAACAGCACAAGUAAAGAGUACCAUAUAAAAGUAGACAUAUAGAUGUGGCAGGUAUUUGGGUGUG
rnacentral:lncRNA from 1 species